rnacentral:rRNA from 1 species
AAUUGUUUUUUAAUUGGAAACUGGUAUGAAGGAAUGAAUGAAGUUUAAGCUGUCUUUAAUAAAAUUUUAAAAAUUUAGAUUUUUAGUAAGAAUGCUAAAAUAAAAUUAUGGGACGAGAAGACCCUAUAGAAUUUUAUAUAAGUUUUAGUUGAUUUAUAUGUAAUAAAUUAGAGUUUAUAUUUGGUUGGGAGGAUUAUUAAAUUUAAUGAACUUUAAUAAAAAGAAACAUUAAUUUAUGAUUUAGAUUUUAUAGUGAUAGAUGAUUAAGGUUUUAUAUAAUCUUAUGGUAGAAUUAAUUACCUUAGGGAUAACAGCGUAAUAUUUUUAAAAAGAUCUUAUUGAUAAGAAUGAUUGC